rnacentral:rRNA from 1 species
GGAGCUUGCACCGAGCGGAUGAGUUGCGAACGGGUGAGUAACGCGUAGGUAACCUGCCUCUUAGCGGGGGAUAACUAUUGGAAACGAUAGCUAAUACCGCAUAAAAGUCGAUAUCGCAUGAUAUUGAUUUGAAAGGUGCAAUUGCAUCACUAAGAGAUGGACCUGCGUUGUAUUAGCUAGUUGGUGAGGUAACGGCUCACCAAGGCGACGAUACAUAGCCGACCUGAGAGGGUGAUCGGCCACACUGGGACUGAGACACGGCCCAGACUCCUACGGGAGGCAGCAGUAGGGAAUCUUCGGCAAUGGGGGCAACCCUGACCGAGCAACGCCGCGUGAGUGAAGAAGGUUUUCGGAUCGUAAAGCUCUGUUGUAAGAGAAGAACGAGUGUGAGAGUGGAAAGUUCACACUGUGACGGUAACUUACCAGAAAGGGACGGCUAACUACGUGCCAGCAGCCGCGGUAAUACGUAGGUCCCGAGCGUUAUCCGGAUUUAUUGGGCGUAAAGCGAGCGCAGGCGGUUAGAUAAGUCUGAAGUUAAAGGCUGUGGCUUAACCAUAGUACGCUUUGGAAACUGUUUAACUUGAGUGCAGAAGGGGAGAGUGGAAUUCCAUGUGUAGCGGUGA